GACGAACCGUGCGAACGUUAUUCGGAAUCACUGGGCUUAAAGCGCGUGUAGGCGGGACGGCACGUCGGUCGCUGAAAGCCCCCCGGCUCAACCGGGGAAUUGCUGGGCAUACUGGCGGUCUUGAGCGAUCUAGGGGCAGAUGGAACAAGUGGUGGAGCGGUGAAAUGCGUAGAUAUCACUUGGAACGCCAAAGGUGAAGACAGUCUGCUGGGGAUCUGCUGACGCUGAGACACGAAAGCCAGGGGAGCGAACGGG
rnacentral:rRNA from 1 species